rnacentral:lncRNA from 1 species
UAUGUAGAAAACUAAAUUUGUAUACAGUUUACUAUCGAUUUAACCGUCUAACAUCUACGUUCACCUAAAACGAUAACGUUUAAAAUUUCCGCUUAGCCGGAUACUUUUUGAAUGAACCGAGUGUUGUAACUGUUGACCGGCCAAAUCGAUUGUUUCUAUAUUAACGGUACAUAGGUUAAUAAACGCUUAACUCAAACAAAAAAUCCAAUGCCCUGAAUACUAAACUCUAAACCCGAAAUACUAAACCCUAAACCCAAUAGGAAGCCCAAAACCCAAACCCUAGUCACUAAAUCCUAAACCUUAAACCCAAUAGUAACCCCGGAACCCAAAAACCCUAGUCAUUAAACCCUAAACCCAAUACUAAACCCCUUAAACCCAAUAGGAACCCCUGAACCCAAACCUCCACGUAAGUGUAAACAAUUAUCUAGAAAAUUGAUUUCUUAUACAUUUAUGUAUCUUGUUAACCGGAUACUUUGUCCUUUCACCCUAAACAAUAAUGUAUUAAAGUUCAUCUUAGCCGGAUAUUGUUAUAAUUACCGGUCGGUUGUAAAUAUUGACCGGUUAAAUAGUUAGACUCCAUAUUGCGGGUACAUAACUUUAUAAGAAUCAAGAUCAUAACUAUGACAUAUGAAAUGAAUAUACGAGUAACGUUUAGGCAAUGUUUUCGUUGAUCACCCUAAACCCUAAACCCUAAGCCCUAAACCCCGAAACCCAAAAACCCUAGUCAUUAAACCCUAAACCUAAUACUAAACCCUAAACCUAAUAGGAACCCCUGAACCCAAACCUCCACGUAAGUGUAAAC